rnacentral:rRNA from 2 species
AACCUGCGGUAGGUAUCAUUA